CUGUAUGUCAGUUAAUCACAAUAUAUAUUUGUACAUUAAAAAAGAGCAUGUGAUAUCUGAAGACAGUUUGUCUCUCUGUGGUUUGUACAGUAAGACAUCAAGAGAGAGCUGAAGACAGACAGGAGAUGGAGGCAGAGAGAAAGGGGUUGACACGCUGCAAAGGGCCACAGUUGGGGGUCGAGCCCACGGUCUCUGCAGCAGGGGCUCAGCAUUGGUGCAUGGGGCUUCAGCUCUACGUUGUGAGCUACUGGACCGCCCCUACAUUAACAUCUGAAAUGUUGUUUAAGGAAAUGUUCAGACUGACCAAUCAACUUGGCUGACAUGCACUGAAACAGGAACUGAUCAGUGAACUGAACACUCAGUGUGACACUGGUCCAAAGGAGAGGCAGGUGCAGAGUAAGUGAUGGUGUCAUUUGAGUGGUUUAACAUUUACAUUUCAUACCAGCAAACAGAGAGAUUGAGAAUAUAAUGUUAAUGAGACAAUAAACUGAUAUUAUAGCAA